GUUAAUGCUGUGAUAGGGAAGAGUACUAUAGCCCCAGUCUACAGAGAGGAAAUGUCAUUGGCUGAGAGCAUUUCCGACAUGACUAUGGGAAAACUACCCUUGAGCAGUAAUCUUAGUAGCCUAUAGGUGAAAAGAUUACCGGGUGGCAACGUUAAUGCUGUAAGAGUGGAUUUUUCAAUUAGGGUGGAACCGCGGGAUACAGCUCUCGUCCCUUUU
rnacentral:ncRNA from 1 species